rnacentral:rRNA from 1 species
AUUGACCGCUGGCGGCAGGCCUAACACAUGCAAGUCGAGCGAGCGGCGGACGGGUGAGUAAUGUCUGGGAAUAUGCCUGAUGUAGGGGGAUAACUACUGGAAACGGUAGCUAAUACCGCCUACUAUCGGAUGAGCACAGAUGGGAUUAGCUAGUAGGGGGGGUAACGGCUCACUUAGGCGACGAUCCCGAGCUGGGCUGAGAGGAUGAUCAGCCACAAUGGAACUGAGACACGGACCAGACUCAUACGGUAGGCAGCGUUGGGGAAUAUUGCACAAUGCGCGCAAGCCUGACGCAGACAUGCCGCGUGUGUGAAGAAGGCCAUCGGGUUGUAAAGCACUUUCAGCGGGGAGGCGUUACCCGCAGAAGAAGCACCGGCUAACUCCGUGCCAGCAGCCGCGGUAAUUC